ensembl:lncRNA
CAACAGCAGACAGACAAAGAGAUUUAUUGUAAGGAAUUGGCUCAGGAGAUGAUGGAGGCUGAGAAGUCCAUGAUCUGCAGUUGCUGAGCUGGAGACAGGAGAGCUGAUGGUGUAGUCCCAGGCCAAGGGAAGGAGAAGACUUAGCUCAGCAGUCAGGUAGAAAAACAGUGGAUUCUUCCUUCCUCCGCCUUUUUGUUGUAUUCAGGCCCUUAUUGGAUUAGAUGAGAUCUGCUUUACUCAGUCCACCUGUUCAAAUGUUAAUCCCAUCCAAAAACACACAGACACACUUGGAAAUAGUUUAACCAAAUAUCUGGGCACCCCAUGGCCCAGUCAGGUUGACACAAAAUUAACCAUCACAUCGUAGAAGGCCUAUGAUUGGGUGGCUUUUGGGCUGAGUCCUGCUUCCCCCUUCUCCCGCCUCCUAACCUCCUCCCUUCUUGCCUACUCUCCCACUCUCUUUCUCCACUCUUCUCCCCUUCGGCCUAGAGGAGACUCUGGGUCACCCCUCUGCUCCCCAGCAUUGCAGUCUCCAGUGGAAGAGACCCCUGACUCAGGAGGGCUACCUUCUCACAGAGACCCUGGGCCAGCGGAGAAGUGAGUGGCAUCUUCCAGAACUCCAUGGUAACCUCAGCUCCUGUGAGAGCCCCAUCUAUGGUCUGUGACCCUCGGUGCACAUACUGCUCCCCCUGGGAGUUUUAGAUGCAAGACACACAAUCUAAAGUCAGCACCUCCCCAGCCUGGCCACAGAUUCAGCUGAGAUCUACGUGGGGUUGGAAUUGCUGCCGUGGCCUGCUCCCUACCCCAGGAGCACCACUACUGAGACUCAAAGGCCUGAACCCAACUGGGUUUUGGCCCCCGCCAAGGUCAUAAUAUGUACCUCCAAGAGUCCUGGGGACGUGGUACCCUAAGCUGGGGAAAUAGCACUAGACCCUUGUUCUAGUAGGUUCUAGUGAAUGAAUUCCCAUGUAAUGAGUCUGCUUUAUUCCUUCUGUCUGCCUCAGGUGAUUCAUGCUGGUCAGCAGGUUCAGCUGUUUCCUUAGAAGGCACGAACCCUGCGUGGCACAGGGGCCAGGGUUCCUUCACAGAAUAAACGAGUGAGCAGGGGAGGGGCAGUCAUUUCUGCUGGCUGUACCAAAGAAUUUUGGAGUGAACGUGAUUCUUGGGAAGAAGAGAAGCUUUAAAAGAUGUCCAGUUAAAACAGUCCUUUACUGCCUGCAUAUAACAUUUUUAUAAAACAUUGAGAAUACGGGGGACCUGGGAGUGGGGAGGAUGUGCAGUCAGGCCCAAGAAAAUAAACUGACCAGGAGCCACAGCUCAACUGGGGAAAUGCCUUUUGAGACGUGACACUGCACAAACAAUAGGCAACGAUUUAGAGCUCUCUGACUCACCAUUGGGCCUCAAGUUAUUGCCGUUAUUAACAGCGACAAGGCUACACACCAGUUUAGGGUAUCCCACAUCUCCAAAAGUGUCAUUUGGGUCUCCGCUCAAACAUCACUUCCUCAGUGUCAGCCUUAUCACACCACCCUGUAUUAUUUUCUGCACAGUUCAUACCACGAUCUGAUCUAUGUGUGUGUGCACGUGUUUAUUGUUUUCCUUCCUGGACUAGAACUUGAACUCCCCAAGGGCAGACUUGGGCAGCUCAUGUGCCCAGCAUUUAGAACCAUGUCCAGCAUGGUCGGGUGUGGUGGCUCACGCCUGUAAUCCCAGCACUUCGGGAGGCUGAGGCGGGCGGAUCAUGAGGUCAGGAGAUUGAGACCAUCCUGGCCAACAUGGUGAAACCCCAUGUCUAGUAAAAAUACAAAAAUUAGCUGGGUGUGGUGGCUCAUGCCUGUAAUCCCAGCUACUCAGGAGGCUGAGGCAGGAGAAUUGCUUGAACCCAGGAGGCGGAGGUUGCAGUGAGCCGAGAUCGUGCCACUGCACUCCAGCCUGGGUGACAGAGCGAGACUCUGUCUCAAAAAAAAAAAAAAAA